GACGAACGCUGGCGGCGUGCUUAACACAUGCAAGUCGAACGGAAAGGCCCUGCUUUUGUGGGGUGCUCGAGUGGCGAACGGGUGAGUAACACGUGAGUAACCUGCCCUUGACUUUGGGAUAACUUCAGGAAACUGGGGCUAAUACCGGAUAGGAGCUCCUGCUGCAUGGUGGGGGUUGGAAAGUUUCGGCGGUUGGGGAUGGACUCGCGGCUUAUCAGCUUGUUGGUGGGGUAGUGGCUUACCAAGGCUUUGACGGGUAGCCGGCCUGAGAGGGUGACCGGCCACAUUGGGACUGAGAGACGGACCAGAAUCCUACGGGAGGCAGCAGUGGGGAAUAUUGCACAAUGGGCGGAAGCCUGAUGCAGCAACGCCGCGUGCGGGAUGACGGCCUUCGGGUUGUAAACCGCUUUCGCCUGUGACGAAGCGUGAGUGACGGUAAUGGGUAAAGAAGCACCGGCUAACUACGUG
rnacentral:rRNA from 1 species